ensembl:lncRNA
GCGACUGACAGCUGUGUAGUUUAACUGGUAAACACAAGACUGUUAGCAUGGAGCGACUGACAGCUGUGUAGUUUAACCAGUAAAUAUAGGACUGUUACUACGAUGCGAAUGGCCGCUGUGACUCCUAACUGCAUGUUUCAGUGUUUCUCUCCCCAUAUGAAGCUAACCUCCGGCACACUCCACCGGCUUUUCCUUCUACCGUUUUACUAACAUGCUAACUUUUGCAAACAAUUCAUUCCGAUUCUCACUUAUCAUUAUAACAAUGGUUUAACAAUGCAUUAGUAUUUGAGAAUUGAAUACAUAAUUAACUGUCUUGAUUUGCCAUUUGAUAUUAUGUGAAAAUAUGUUUUUGUAGAUUCAAGAAUGUUACUGUUUUGGAGAAAAAGCUCCUAUGAACUAUACUCCUUUAGCUGAUAGAAGUUUAAUGUCCGUGAUCUCAAACAUCCUCAGAAGCAUCUAUAAGGUCCUGGAACUAAAACCUAAAACCUCAACAGAGUGUGUAUAGGUCCUGGAACUAAAACCUAAACAAAGCUUGUUUAGAGGUCCCAGAUCUCAUCAGAGUGUGUUUAAGGUCCUAGACCUAAACCUCAUGGGGGAGAAAUACCGCAGGAGAUUUAGCCCAAACUAUUUAAAUAAUCCUCAGUGGCACGGCGGCAGGCCCAGAAAGCCUCGUCAGAGCUGGUCUCCCAGUCAGAGCUGGUCUCCCAGUCAGAGCUCUGUCUCCCAGUCAGAGCUGGUCUCCCAGUCAGAGCUCUGUCUCCCAGUCAGAGCUGGUCUCCCAGUCAGAGCUGGUCUCCCAGUCAGGGCUGGUCUCCCAGUCAGAGCUGGUCUCCCAGUCAGAGCUCUGUCUCCCAGUCUGGGCUGGUCUCCCAGUCAGAGCUCUGUCUCCCAGUGCUGGUGUUAAAGGAACGUCUCUCAGCUCACAGGGUGAAGAUGACCGCGUCAAUGAGCUCCCGUCUGUCUCUUGUCACGAGCUCCUGUCUUGUCUCUCGUCACUGAGCUCCUGUCUGUCUCUCAUCACAGGUGUCCUGGUGCCAAAUAUGGCCUCAGAAUCCUCAGGUCUAUUCCAGAAUUAGACCUCUGAGCCCCAUCUUGAGUUCUUUAACGUGCCUGUGUACUGAUUGGCUGUCAUCGCUGAUGAUGCUGUCCUCCUGCACGCUGCGCUGCUUAGCCCCGCCCACCCCUGUCUGCCCACCCGCCUCAUGUUACAGCAUGUGGAACAUGUUAUAGUAUAUUAAAACAUGUUAUAGCAUGUAAAACAUGGUACAACAUGUUACAACAUCCAUCUUACUACCCACACGUUACAACAUGUACCUUAAACUUCAUAGCUGUUAACAUGUACCCUUCUGAUAUAAAUGUUACAAAAUAUACGUUAUGACGGACAUGUUACGACACACUUUAUGCAAGUUAAAUAUCCAUGUUAGUGUGCAUCAUUAUAUCAUGUGAUGCUAGCUCCAACAUUAGCACUAUUAACAUUAGCACUUUUAACAUAAGCACUAGCGACAUUAGCACUAGCAACAUGAGCACUAGCCACAUUAGCAGUAGCAACAUUAGCGCUAGCUGAAGCAUUCAGUUCUUGGGUCCUAAGAUGCCAGCUCAGUGUUCUGGAGGUAUCAGAGGCUGGGGCCCUCUUGGUGAUAAAGUAUUUUGACUGGGGGAGAUGGGACCUCAACCGUUACAUCUUGGAGAUGCUGGUGCCAACAAUGUUCAAGUGUUUGUAAUUUUGCUGGGAAACCCAACUUUAUUAAAACCUACAAUCUGUGAUGCCCACGCCGCACCGACACACGCACUUAAUCAGCAAACACUCCCUGACAUUACUCAAGGAUUGGCUUGAGAAUUGUAUUUGAAGGAGAAUAACUUCAUCAUCUCUGCCAUUUUAACAUGAAUCACGACCACAAAACAAAGCUGUAGUUCUGAGAUGUGUCAUAAUCUUCCCUUGACUCCAGAUGCAGUCUAAUGUCAUGUUUGUUGAGUCAUGCGUGUGUUGGAGAAGGUGAGAUGAUCAAAACGUGCUCGUUCGAGCGGUGCAGUUCUAGUUCACACCACUAGAUGGAACCAAUGCAGCGACAGAUAAUCCUCCAUCUGUUAAACCAGAAGUUCAUUCUGGAUUUAUGUAUAAGGUACCAAUUUACCAACCAUACAGUAUAAACAUAUACAUUACUGAGGAUUUAAGGGCGAACGAGAUAAUCAGACACUGUAGAACCUUAUUUUAACUUAAUCUGACGAUAAAGAUGAAGUUGUUGAAGCUAGGUCCAAGAAACAGAAGUCAGAGGUCAUUAGAGAAAUUUAAAGAUUUCGGGAUUGUGGGUUUAAUUUAAAAUUAUUAUAAAUUAUUGUUAUUCUUUUAAUGGUAACGCCUUAGGGUUUUUUUUUCUUUGAAACUCUAUAGCACUUUGAGAUUUUCGAAUGUAAAGUGCUCUACAAAUAACCUGCAUUAUUAUUAUUAUUAGGGGCUAUUUUUCAAUUUUUAUGUUUGGAAUUAUAUUCAUAUUUUAAUGAUUUUAUGUAUAGAAAUUAUUUCUAUUUAUAGAUUUAUACGAUUUGUUACUACAUAUUAAUUAUUACAAAUAUUUCCACAGGGUUUAUAUGAAUGUUGCGGAAAAGUCCUAUAAUCAAUACUUUAAAAUAAAAGAACAAUCACUUUUUUUUAUUGCAAAGAUAUUGUAGAAGUUGAAAUGUUUGAUAUGAUGUAAUCACCCUUGUGUUUGACUCAAAAUAAAAUGUAUUCCUCUAAGCCUUCUCUAUGAAUGUCUGUCAUGAAUUCAUGUUCAACUACGCAGCAAAGUGAAUAAUAAACGCUCUUGAA